AAGUACGUACUCUUUGCUUGCUUGCUUAACCAGAUGAGAUCUCUAAGCAAAGUUUUGGCUAUUGUAGCAGUAUUAAUUCUUGUUCUAAAACCACAUGAAGCCUGCAGGCUCCUAGAUGCUAAGAAAGAAGAAAAAUUAUGGAUGAAAAGAAACAAUAUUAUUAUUAUUAAUUAUAAUAAUAAUAAUAAUAAUAAUCUCCAUCUACAAUCUCUACAGAAGGGACGUCCGGUCGGCCCACCUGCACCCAGUGGCUGCACCUACAUCCCGGGUAAUGGCGGUAAACCUUGCAAUUAAGCUCAACCAUAAGGGCUGAUAAUUAAUGUCCAAAUAUAUCAAAUGGGAUCGAGGAAACCGACUGGAUUUAAUUCCUUGAAUUUUAUAUUUUCUUUUUCAUUCUUGAAUUUAUUUAUUAUUUAAAUUUCUCCUUUGUACCUCAUUCUUUAAACGUACGUAUGUCAAUUUGAUCGAUCUUAACCACUGACGCGAUAG
rnacentral:lncRNA from 1 species